GACAGAGGGUGCAAACGUUGUUCGGAAUUACUGGGCGUAAAGCGUGUGUAGGCGGCUCUGUGUGUCAGGUGUGAAAGCCCCGGGCUCAACCUGGGAAGUGCACUUGAAACUGCAGAGCUUGAGUAUCGGAGAGGUUGGUGGAAUUCUCGGUGGAGAGGUGAAAUUCGUAGAUAUCUGGAGGAACACCGGUGGCGAAGGCGGCAUCCUGGACCGGCAUUGACGCUGAGGCGCGAAAGCUAGGGGAGCAAACGGG
rnacentral:rRNA from 1 species